CAGCCGCCGCGGGAAUACGAAGGGGGCUAGCGUUGUUCGGAUUUACUGGGCGUAAAGCGCACGUAGGCGGACUUUUAAGUCAGGAGUGAAAUCCCGGGGCUCAACCCCGGAACUGCCUUUGAUACUGGAAGUCUUGAGUAUGGUAGAGGUGAGUGGAAUUCCGAGUGUAGAGGUGAAAUUCGUAGAUAUUCGGAGGAACACCAGUGGCGAAGGCGGCUCACUGGACCAUUACUGACGCUGAGGUGCGAAAGCGUGGGGAGCAAACAGGAUUAGAUACCCCGGUAGUCCCUGUCUCUUAUAC
rnacentral:rRNA from 1 species